AAAGCUGAUUCCAGCUACAGGUUCAUGCUGUUGUAUUCUUUUAUACUGUUUCAUUUGUACUGUUUUAAAUCAUUCAGUAAAUGCAAAGUUAAACCGAUCAUACUGUUAUAUUUUUUUAUACUGUUUUAUUCGUACUGUUUUAAAUCAUUCAGUAAAUGCAAAGUUAAACCGAUCAUACUGUUGUAUUCUUUUAUACUGUUUUAUUCGUACUGUUUUAAAUCAUUCAGUAAAUGCAAAGUUAAACCGAUCAUACUGUUGUAUUCUUUUAUACUGUUUUAUUCGUACUGUUUUAAAUCAUUCAGUAAAUGCAAAGUUAAACCGAUCAUACUGUUGUAUUCUUUUAUACUGUUUUAUUCGUACUGUUUUAAAUUCUUCAGUAAAUGCAAAGUUAAACCGAUGUGUCUUUAAUCUAGGUUUAAAAGUGCCCACUGUUGGAACACAUCUGAUCUCAUUUGAAAGCUGAUUCCAGCUACAGAUCUAAAAGUGUCUUCUGUUGAAACACAUCUGAUCUCUUCUGAAAGCUGAUUCCAGCUACAGAUUUAAAAGUGCCUACUGUUGAAACACAUUUCAUCUCAUCUGAAAGCUGAUUCCAGCUACAGAUUUAAAGGUGCCUACUGAUGAAACACAUCUGAUCUCAUCUGAAAGCUGAUUCCAGAUACAGGUUCAUACUGUUGUAC